UUUAGAGCGCACAUCACUAUUAUUUAUGAAGAACGACGUGAUCAUUCUGGACAUGUAGUUUAGUAAUGGGGAGAAAAAAAACGACAUUUGGAAAAACCCAUUCAAGAUCUCAUUCUCAAUACUGUUAGGAAGGUGUCCAUCCCAUUUAAUGCCCUCUUCCUGUUGUCAUUCUCCCAUCAGCCACAUCAUGAUUGCGGUAUCAAUAUUAGGACCGACUCGGAGUCACAAGCAGUUAGUCCUAAUUUGGAUACCGUACAGGAUAGCACGUUCUCUCAGAAAAGGAAGUCACCCAUAGACACUUUGAGUUGCAGACUUACACAGACAUCUAUCAUGUCACAAUUCACCCAAACUGUCUAGAUUGGCUGGAUAUUUGAAUAACAAGUGCAUUUGAUAAACUGUUAUGGAUGAUAGGCUAUGGUUAUAACCUGUUUUGUAUGACAGGCUAUAGGUUAUAACCUGUUUUGUAUGACAGGCUAUAGGUUAUAACCUGUUUUGUAUGACAGGCUAUAGGUUAUAACCUGUUUUGUAUGACAGGCUAUAGGUUAUAACCUGUUUUGUAUG
ensembl:lncRNA